AUUGAACGCUGGCGGCAGGCCUAACACAUGCAAGUCGAACGAGCGGCGGACGGGUGAGUAAUGUCUGGGAAACUGCCUGAUGGAGGGGGAUAACUACUGGAAACGGUAGCUAAUACCGCAUACCAUCAGAUGAACCCAGAUGGGAUUAGCUAGUAGGUGGGGUAACGGCUCACCAAGGCGACGAUCCCUAGCUGGUCUGAGAGGAUGACCAGCCACACUGGAACUGAGACACGGCCCAGACUCCUACGGGAGGCAGCAGUGGGGAAUAUUGCACAAUGGGCGCAAGCCUGAUGCAGCCAUGCCGCGUGUAUGAAGAAGGCCUUCGGGUUGUAAAGUACUUUCAGCGGGGAGGCGUUACCCGCAGAAGAAGCACCGGCUAACUCCGUGCCAGCAGCCGCGGUAAUAC
rnacentral:rRNA from 1 species